CUGACAGGGCCCGGUUACCUCAUAGGGUGAUUUCAUCUCCAAAGGUGAAAAGGCUUCAAAACAGAACUUUACAAAACAUUAGAGAACAUUUCACUCCAGAUAAUAAGCGGCAAUUUACAUUCAAGUUGGAGAAAAUACGCAUAAUUAACCCUUCCGGAAGAUGAAGUUAAGGAGGACAAACGAAGCAAACAGAAGGCCACUUUCUCACCACCUGAAAUAUAAAGUCUUCCAAAGGACAGGGGAUAAACGGCUGUGAAGGAAAUGUGAAACGGUUUAACAUCCGUAUUUAGCGGAAGUAGCGCCAUCAUUAGCAGCACUUCCAUGCCUGAGCAUGCGCAUCUGACACACCAACGAGCUGGUGGCGGGUCUACGCACAGGUAAUCCAGUGUCUCGGAUUGUCACUGGAAACGAGAAGCACAUACUGAGAACUUAAACAACUUGCUCAAGAUCAAAUGGCAAAUGAGAGGACUCGGAACCUGAUCUCAGGACAGCAAACUUCAGGGCAUGGGAUCAUGACCACUACUGGUUAGUGCCAAGGUUGACAUCAUAUUUGCUUGGGAAACAUCAAGAUCUGACUGCCUAUUCUUCAAAGAAACUUUAAUCACGGGAAGAAAAAGAAAUACACCAUCGGCUAUCCUCUGCUGUCCAACAGAGGCCAGAAUGGUGGGACUCUAAUACUGAGAUAAUUUGUUUCAACUUUAAAGUUAAAGAAAACAAAAACACUAAUAACUGUCAUUUAAAACUCAGUUUGUUUCAACUUUACUGUAGAACACAACAUAAGAGAGAGACCCGUCAGUUUCUUCAAAUUAUUCUACAAUUCCCUCCAAAGGAAAAAGACAUGGCUCACAUGUCUUUUCCUAACUUUCAGUUUUUUCUUCUCAUGUGUUCCCAAUGGAGUCCUUUUCCCAUGGAGAAAACUCAAGGUGGUUCAGCCUGGAUAGCAGACCGUGGGUUGGAGUAACAAGCAAGGAGGAAGUUUCCUGCAGGGUAGGGACUGAUUCACACCUUCGGAUUUGCAGAGGAAUGGAAUGCUUAUUGGCAUUGUUCAAGGAUGCCACGCCAGAGACUGAUUAAGGGGCAGAUUUGCAUACAGCUCAGUGGGGUACUCAAAGCUGAACUCAGGAAGAGACUCUGGUUCAGUGGGGAAUCUUGUACCCAUAAUAGUUCUUGCAAACACUGGUGCAGGUCUACAGUGCAGGGAUGAGGAACUCCCAACCUGGGCUUCCAUAAUUAAAGCACUGACAACCUUCACUAUUAAUAUGCAAAGAAAUCCCCUUUCUACCAUAUGAUGUCAUAGAGACAAAUGGACUUUGGAGUCAGAUAGACGUGAGCUGGAAUCUGGAUGUGGUCACUUAUUCAUUCUAUAAUCUCAAGCAUAUCACUAAUCCUUGCAGGACCUCAGUUUCCUCCUACGUAACUGGGGGUGUAUGAAAGGGGAAAUAACUGUUUAUCUUGAAUAUCUAUUAAAGGGGAUUAAUGAAAUAAAAAUAAAAUCCCAUUACAUAAC